AAUCAACGCUGGCGGCGUGCCUCAGACAUGCAAGUCGAACGAUUAAACUUUCCUUCGGGAAAGAUAUAAAGUGGCGCACGGGUGAGUAACACGUAAGUAAUCUACCUUUGAGUGGGGAAUAACAUCGGGAAACCGAUGCUAAUACCGCAUAAUGCAGCGGCAUCGCAAGAUGACAGUUGUUAAAGAUUUAUCGCUUAAAGAGGAGCUUGCGGCAGAUUAGCAGUUGGUAAGGUAAUGGCUUACCAAGGCUACGAUCUGUAACCGGUCUAAGAGGACGGUCGGUCACACUGACACUGAAUAACGGGUCAAACUCCUACGGGAGGCAGCAGGUCGGGUAAUUUUGGGCAAUGGGCGAAAGCCUGACCCAGCAACGCCGCGUGAAGGAUGAAGUA
rnacentral:rRNA from 1 species